UGGCGCCGCCUCGUCGGCGCACCGGCGCUCUCGUGUUUCUGUAAAGCGGCAGCUCUACUCAGAGCCGGCUGAAGGCCGAACCUUGUCAAGGUCACGGCCGCUGCGCGGCGCUCGGCCGGCUCACGUGGGGGACGAAUGGCCGGUUGGUCAGUGGUCUGUGCCUUUGUGUUUGUUUUUAUGUAGAAUAUCAACGGCGUUGUGCUAAUGGCGCUUAUACGAGGUCGAAGUUGGUGCGACCAAGAACCCGUUUUGCACGCUGAGACUUCGCAUGGGAGGCAAAACUUGUCGUUACGGCACCACGGCAGUGAAUACAGCCCGUUCGACGACAACUCCCCGUCUCUGCAAACGGCGUGCGAACAAAUACCAUUCGUCCGACUCUCAGUGUUGAUCUAAAUUACAUAGAUCGAGUAAGAUUCAUCUUCCUCUUUUAAUCUUCCUCUCGUAUCCCUUCAAUCUAGAGUCUUAACUAACCCUCCC